rnacentral:rRNA from 1 species
UACGUAGGCAGCAAGCGUUGUUCGGAAUUACUGGGCGUAAAGAGUGUGUAGGCGGUUUUCUAAGUUCGGUGUGAAAUCUCCCGGCUUAACUGGGAGGGUGCGCCGGAAACUGGAGGACUGGAGUGCCGGAGAGGAUAGCGGAAUUCCUGGUGUAGCGGUGAAAUGCGUAGAUAUCAGGAGGAACACCGAUGGCGAAGGCAGGUCUCUGGGCCACUACUGACGCUGAGAAGCGAAAGCAUGGGGAGCGAACAGG